GCAAACUUGGUCAUUUAGAGGAAGUAAAAGUCGUAACAAGGUCUCCGUUGGUGAACCAGCGGAGGGAUCAUUACCGAGUUUACAACUCCCAAACCCUUAUGUGAACUGUACCUAUUGUUGCUUCGGCGGGAACGCCCCGGCGCUCUAAGCCCGGAACCAGGCGCCCGCCGGAGACCCUAAACUCUUGUUUUUAAUUCGAGGUUUUCUCUGAGUGUCAAAACACAAUAAAUCAAAACUUUUAACAACGGAUCUCUUGGCUCUGGCAUCGAUGAAGAACGCAGC
rnacentral:misc_RNA from 1 species